rnacentral:rRNA from 1 species
UCAUCUUCGGGGGUAGAGCACUGUUUCGGCUAGGGGGUCAUCCCGACUUACCAACCCGAUGCAAACUACGAAUACCGAAGAAUGUUAUCACGGGAGACACACGGCGGGUGCUAACGUCCGUCGUGAAGAGGGAAACAACCCAGACCGCCAGCUAAGGUCCCAAAGUCACAGUUAAGUGGGAAACGAUGUGGGAAGGCACAGACAGCCAGGAUGUUGGCUUAGAAGCAGCCAUCAUUUAAAGAAAGCGUAAUAGCUCACUGGUCGAGUCGGCCUGCGCGGAAGAUGUAACGGGGCUAAACUGUGCACCGAAGCUGCGGCAGCGACACUAUGUGUUGUUGGGUAGGGGAGCGUUCUGUAAGCCUGCGAAGGUGGCCUGUGAGGGUUGCUGGAGGUAUCAGAAGUGCGAAUGCUGACAUAAGUAACGAUAAUGCGGGUGAAAAGCCCGCACGCCGGAAGACCAAGGGUUCCUGUCCAACGUUAAUCGGGGCAGGGUGAGUCGACCCCUAAGGCGAGGCCGAAAGGCGUAGUCGAUGGGAAACAGGUUAAUAUUCCUGUACUUGGUGUUACUGCGAAGGGGGGACGGAGAAGGCUAUGUUAGCCGGGCGACGGUUGUCCCGGUUUAAGCAUGUAGGCGGAGGUUCCAGGUAAAUCCGGUACCUUUUAACGCUGAGGUGUGAUGACGAGGCACUACGGUGCUGAAGUAACAAAUGCCCUGCUUCCAGGAAAAGCCUCUAAGCAUCAGGUAACAUUAAAUCGUACCCCAAACCGACACAGGUGGUCAGGUA